UACGAAGGGGGCUAGCGUUGCUCGGAAUCACUGGGCGUAAAGGGUGCGUAGGCGGGUCUUUAAGUCAGGGGUGAAAUCCUGGAGCUCAACUCCAGAACUGCCUUUGAUACUGAGGAUCUUGAGUUCGGGAGAGGUGAGUGGAACUGCGAGUGUAGAGGUGAAAUUCGUAGAUAUUCGCAAGAACACCAGUGGCGAAGGCGGCUCACUGGCCCGAUACUGACGCUGAGGCACGAAAGCGUGGGAGCAAACGGG
rnacentral:rRNA from 1 species